rnacentral:rRNA from 1 species
UACGGAGGGUGCAAGCGUUAUCCGGAUUCACUGGGUUUAAAGGGUGCGUAGGCGGGUAAGUAAGUCCGUGGUGAAAUCUCUGAGCUUAACUCAGAAACUGCCGUGGAUACUAUUUGCCUUGAAUAUUGUGGAGGUGAGCGGAAUAUGUCAUGUAGCGGUGAAAUGCUUAGAUAUGACAUAGAACACCAAUUGCGAAGGCAGCUCACUACACAAUCAUCGACGCUGAGGCACGAAAGCGUGGGGAUCAAACAGG